UACGAAGGGGGCUAGCGUUGCUCGGAAUUACUGGGCGUAAAGGGCGCGUAGGCGGCUUGGCCAGUCAGGCGUGAAAUUCCUGGGCUUAACCUGGGGACUGCGCUUGAUACUGCCAGGCUUGAGGCCGAGAGAGGGUGGUGGAAUUCCCAGUGUAGAGGUGAAAUUCGUAGAUAUUGGGAAGAACACCGGUGGCGAAGGCGACCACCUGGCUCGGUACUGACGCUGAGGCGCGACAGCGUGGGGAGCAAACAGGAUUAGAAACCCGUGUAGUCC
rnacentral:rRNA from 1 species